rnacentral:rRNA from 1 species
CCUACGGGUGGCAGCAGUGGGGAAUAUUGGACAAUGGGGGCAACCCUGAUCCAGCGACGCCGCGUGAGUGAAGAAGUAUCUCGGUACGUAAAGCUCUAUCAGCAGGGAAGAAAAAAAGACGGUACCUGACUAAGAAGCCCCGGCUAACUACGUGCCAGCAGCCGCGGUAAUACGUAGGGGGCAAGCGUUAUCCGGAAUUACUGGGUGUAAAGGGAGCGUAGACGGCUAUGCAAGUCUGGAGUGAAAUGCCGGGGCUCAACCCCGGAGCUGCUCUGGAAACUGCGUGGCUUGAGUGUCGGAGGGGCAGGCGGAAUUCCCAGUGUAGCGGUGAAAUGCGUAGAUAUUGGGAGGAACACCGGCGGCGAAGGCGGCCUGCUGGACGACAACUGACGUUGAGGCUCGAAGGCGUGGGUAGCAAACAGGAUUAGAUACCCUGGUAGUC